rnacentral:siRNA from 1 species
AUCAACCUACCACCAAUGCAU